GCGGCCUAUCAGCUUGUUGGUGGGGUGAUGGCCUACCAAGGCGACGACGGGUAGCCGGCCUGAGAGGGUGACCGGCCACACUGGGACUGAGAUACGGCCCAGACUCCUACGGGAGGCAGCAGUGGGGAAUAUUGCACAAUGGGCGCAAGCCUGAUGCAGCGACGCCGCGUGGGGGAUGACGGCCUUCGGGUUGUAAACCUCUUUCAGUAGGGACGAAGCGCAAGUGACGGUACCUACAGAAGAAGGACCGGCCAACUACGUGCCAGCAGCCGCGGUAAUACGUAGGGUCCGAGCGUUGUCCGGAAUUACUGGGCGUAAAGAGCUCGUAGGUGGUUUGUCGCGUUGUUCGUGAAAACCGGGGGCUUAACCCUCGGCGUGCGGGCGAUACGGGCAGACUGGAGUACUGCAGGGGAGACUGGAAUUCCU
rnacentral:rRNA from 1 species